AGAGGAAGGAGAAGUCGUAACAAGGUUUCCGUAGGUGAACCUGCGGAAGGAUCAUUGUCGAAACCUGCCAAGCAGAACGACCCGCGAACUAGUAUGGUAACCAUCGGGGGCGCUUUGUGGCGGGCUUCGCCGCCCCCACUCUCCGUCCCCUCGCCAGGUGCGCUGUUGAACUGCGUUCCCCGGCCGAAAACAAACCCCGACGCGAAUCGCGUCAAGGAACACUUUAACAAGAGAAGCGCGUGCGCCCCCGUCCUCGCUCGCGAGUGACGUUACUUGGGGGGUACCGGCGUCUUUCACGAACAGAACGACUCUCGGCAACGGAUAUCUCGGCUCUCGCAUCGAUGAAGAACGUAGCGAAAUGCGAUACUUGGUGUGAAUUGCAGAAUCCCGUGAACCAUCGAGUCUUUGAACGCAAGUUGCGCCCGAAGCCAUUAGGCCGAGGGCACGCCUGCCUGGGCGUCUCACAUCGCGUCGCCCCUCGCCCUGUGCCCGCAAAGGGUCCCUGGGUUGGUUGGGGCGGAUUUUGGCCCCCCGUGUGCCCCGGUGCGCGGUCGGCCUAAAAAUGAGUCCCUGGCGACGAACGUCACGAUGAGUGGUGGAUGUGAUAACGUUGCGUCAUGUCGUGCACGUCUUGUCCCAGCGGGUUGCUUUUGUAUUCGACCCUGAGAAAGCACCGCUUCCACGGUGCCUCGACCGCGACCCCAGGUCAGGCGGGAUUACCCGCU
rnacentral:misc_RNA from 1 species